rnacentral:lncRNA from 1 species
AUUAGUGCCUCUUAAUUUAUUCCAAACGUUUUCAACUUUGCCAAUAUCUUUUCUUGCUUAUUGAAAAGUGAGCAAUCUAAUUGAAAACAAAAAUUAAGAGAAGAGUGCACAAUAUAGAACAAAGAUAUUCAUGAAACAAUAGAUCCAUAUAUAUUAUUUGUUUAAGGCAGCUACAUCAUUAACUUAAAAAACCCCAGCAUCCCCUUACGGUUGAUGUAUAUAAUAGCCUGAUAAAACAUGAAAAAAAUGAAGGGAAUAAUUAGGUUCAGAGGUAACAAUAAGCAAAAUUUCAGAGGGCAAAACAGAGGGCAAAAAACCAGAUAUAGGUGAAGAUGAAAUAAGUGAUUUAUUUCUAGAUGAUGUCUAUGUCAACAUGACAAUCACCUUUGUGUCAUGAAUUUUUUUAACCUAGUAAUUAAACAGAUUUUUGUAAGCAUUUGAAAAAUUGGGAUUAUUUUAGCAAGUCUUGGAUAUUAAAUUUAUGAGAACACAAGUUUUGAUAGAGAUGUUUUUGAUAAAUGCAAACUCAAAAUUACAUAUAGCUUAAUAUCUCAAGUAUUUAUAAAGGUACUUCCAAGUAAUACAACAAUAUUUAAGUAAAAACAGGAACAAAAAAUGAGGAACUGCGUCCAUUUCAAAUAUGGAUAAUUCACCUUGAGUAAGAGGAAAGUAAUAUAACAUUUUGAACAUGCCCG